GACGAACCGUGCGAACGUUGUUCGGAUUUACUGGGCGUAAAGGGCGCGUAGGCGGCAAUUCAAGUCAUCUGUGAAAUCUCCGGGCUUAACUCGGAACGGUCAGAUGAUACUGCUUCGCUAGAGUGCGGAAGGGGCAAUCGGAAUUCUCGGUGUAGCGGUGAAAUGCGUAGAUAUCGAGAGGAACACCUGAGGUGAAGACGGGUUGCUGGGCCGACACUGACGCUGAAGCGCGAAAGCCAGGGGAGCAAACGGG
rnacentral:rRNA from 1 species